rnacentral:lncRNA from 1 species
GAAAAGCUGGUCCUGCUGUGGUGGAGAGAAUGGAGGAAAGAUAAUAAAAGGCCAAACCUUUGCUCCAACUUUCUCCUUAGCUUCCCUUUGGAUCUGGAAAGCUGGGGACCCACACGGCAGAGCCAUGGUACUGGAGGAGCCAUUAACAACGAGGCUCCUUCUGUAAGGUUGCCUGGAUACUGCAUCUGGCUGACAGAGUCCCCAGACAGAACUUGAAUAGGCACUGCCAGGGUGUGUACUUCUAUGACUCUCCUUUUGCAAUGGGCCCACACCACCCACCUCAUUUUUCUAAUAAGAGCUUUCAAUAAACCUCUCUUUCUUGAAGUUACCUGAGAAUGGAUCCAUUCCCUGCAACUGAAGAUUCUAAGGAACUGGGUUUCUCAGUAUACAAUGGGAAUGGUUGGGAGGAGGUAAAGAGUAGAAGACAGUAUCAAGAAUCCAGAGCCCAGCACCUGUAGUCCUAACUAUUCAGAUUCCUUGAGCCCAGGAGUUUGAGUCCAGCCUGGACAACAUAUUGAGACCCCCAUCUCUCUAAAAAAAAAGAGAAAGAAAGAAGGAAAGAAAAAAAGAAAGAAAGAAAGAAAGAAAGAAAGAAAGAAAGAAAGAAAGAAAGAGAAAGAAAGAAGGAAAGAAGGAAAGAAGGAAAGAAAGAAAGAAAGAGAAAGAAAGAAAAGAAGAUUGUAGCUAGGGGGAGAGUAGGUGAAAAGAUGAACAACAUGACCGGGAAGAUUUCCUAAUCUCACCACAGCCUGGCUCUACCUUAAG